rnacentral:rRNA from 1 species
GACGAACGCUGGCGGCGUGCCUAAUACAUGCAAGUCGAGCGCUGAAGGUUUGUACUUGUGCCGACUGGAUUAGCAGCGAACGGGUGAGUAAGGCGUGGGUAAUCUUCCUUUUAUCGGGGGAGAACAUUGGGAAACGAAUGCUAAUACCGCAUAAAAACUUUAAAGACAAGAUUUAAGUGUGAAAGAUACAUUUGCAUCACGCAAGGGUGGUUCCGCGUUGUAUUAGCUAGUUGGGGAGGGAAAGGCUCAACAAGGCGAUGAUACAUAGCCGACCUGAGAGGGUGGUCGGCCACAUUGGGACUGAGACACGGCCCAAACCCCUACGGGAGGCAGCCGUAGGGAAUCGUAGGAAAAGGACGAAAGUCUGAACGAGCCAAGCCGCGGGAGUGAAGAAGGUUUUCGGAUCGUAAAACUCUGUUGGUAGAGAAGAAAGUUGGUGAGAGUGGAACGCUCAUGAAGUGACGGUACCUACACAGAAAGGGCCGGCUAACUACGUG